UACGAAGGUCCCAAGCGUUGUUCGGAAUCACUGGGCGUAAAGGGAGCGUAGGCGGCGCGGUAAGUCGGGUGUGAAAUCCCGGGGCUCAACCCCGGAACUGCAUCCGAUACUGCCGUGCUUGAGGGUUGGAGAGGUAGCUGGAAUUAUCGGUGUAGCAGUGAAAUGCGUGGAUAUCGAUAGGAACACUCGUGGCGAAGGCGAGCUACUGGACAACAUCUGACGCCGAGGCUCGAAGGCUAGGGGAGCAAAAGGG
rnacentral:rRNA from 1 species